UACAUCUUUUUAGUUGAUCACU
rnacentral:miRNA from 1 species